UACAUGCAGUCGAGCGGACAGAAGGGAGCUUGCUCCCGGAUGUUAGCGGCGGACGGGUGAGUAACACGUGGGUAACCUGCCUGUAAGACUGGGAUAACUCCGGGAAACCGGAGCUAAUACCGGAUAGUUCCUUGAACCGCAUGGUUCAAGGAUGAAAGACGGUUUCGGCUGUCACUUACAGAUGGACCCGCGGCGCAUUAGCUAGUUGGUGAGGUAACGGCUCACCAAGGCGACGAUGCGUAGCCGACCUGAGAGGGUGAUCGGCCACACUGGGACUGAGACACGGCCCAGACUCCUACGGGAGGCAGCAGUAGGGAAUCUUCCGCAAUGGACGAAAGUCUGACGGAGCAACGCCGCGUGAGUGAUGAAGGUUUUCGGAUCGUAAAGCUCUGUUGUUAGGGAAGAACAAGUGCAAGAGUAACUGCUUGCACCUUGACGGUACCUAACCAGAAAGCCACGGCUAACUACGUGCCAGCAGCCGCGGUAAUACGUAGGUGGCAAGCGUUGUCCGGAAUUAUUGGGCGUAAAGGGCUCGCAGGCGGUUUCUUAAGUCUGAUGUGAAAGCCCCCGGCUCAACCGGGGAGGGUCAUUGGAAACUGGGAAACUUGAGUGCAGAAGAGGAGAGUGGAAUUCCACGUGUAGCGGUGAAAUGCGUAGAGAUGUGGAGGAACACCAGUGGCGAAGGCGACUCUCUGGUCUGUAACUGACGCUGAGGAGCGAAAGCGUGGGGAGCGAACAGGAUUAGAUACCCUGGUAGUCCACGCCGUAAACGAUGAGUGCUAAGUGUUAGGGGGUUUCCGCCCCUUAGUGCUGCAGCUAACGCAUUAAGCACUCCGCCUGGGGAGUACGGUCGCAAGACUGAAACUCAAAGGAAUUGACG
rnacentral:rRNA from 1 species